GCCGGUGUUGCUCAGUGGAUAGAGCGUCAGCCUGCGGACUGAAGGGUCCCAGGUUCGAUUCCGGCCAAGGGCA
rnacentral:tRNA from 1 species